rnacentral:rRNA from 1 species
UACGUAGGGGGCAAGCGUUGUCCGGAUUUAUUGGGCGUAAAGCGCUCGCAGGUGGUUCGUCGCGUCGUGCGUGAAAGACCCCGGCUCAACUGGGGAGGGUCGUGCGAUACUGGCGGACUGGAGGCCAGUAGGGGGAUGCGGAAUUCCGGGUGUAGUGGUGGAAUGCGUAGAGAUCCGGAGGAACACCAGCGGCGAAGGCGGCAUCCUGGACUGGUCCUGACACUCAUGAGCGAAAGCGUGGGGAGCGAUCCGG